CUCUGCCCGUCGUACAGGUUGACUUUUCUCAACGAAUAUACGUUUCGAAACGACAUAGAGUAAAUACUUAAUACGAAACAACAAAGGUAUUGGUCAUUGUCAACAUAAAUUGUGAUUUACGUAUUGCUGCUACGGAUUAACGUGCUUACAUGAAGUAAUAAAUGCAAUCAAAGACCCAAAAUACAGUUAGAAUUUACUGAGGUCGUAGUGAAUAUCAGCAUCCUUCAGGACAGAAACUUAUACAGUGGUAAAGAGGUAGAAGAUGGAUGACCAAAACUGAGAGAGAAUUCUAGGACAGAAAAGAUGUAGAUGUUGGAUAACCAUCCAGGAACAGAACCGUAGGACAAGAAAGAUGUAGAUGAUGGGUGACCAAGCUGGGACAGAAUGCCAAGACAGGAAAGAUGUAGAAAUGAGUGGACCAGGAAGCAAAGAAUCAUUACACCAAGGUGUGCUCGGUUGUCUUGGACACUCCUAAUGUCCCCUGUGACAGGUCAGCCAGCAGCGACAAAGUCAUUAGUAUCAGGGUGGACACCCACCUUCCAGGCAACGAGAACAGCAGCUCAUCAUCGACGAUGUUUUCUUUUUCUAUUGUGGUGGGCAUCCGCAUACUAUAAGCGCAGCCAAUACACUAGCAGCACCACGUGUCGACGUCACGGGCACAGAGAAGACGCUGGAGACGCUGUGGCUCUGCUGUUACCACAACAGAAACAUUACAUCAUUGUGAGGCUAACAUCAGUACAGUCAGAAAUGUUUACCUGGCAUUUAAAACUGAUUUUUGUUUACAAUAAACAAAUUAUUUGAGCAA
rnacentral:lncRNA from 1 species